rnacentral:misc_RNA from 1 species
GGGCGCCGUUUCGCUUCCCUUCAGAGUUCAGACGAGACCGUAGAAAGCAAGGAAGCAACUCGCGCGCAAAAGUGUAUCGUCGGCGCGUCAGGUGCAGGUCCUUUCCUCUUCGCUAGCGUGCUGGAAGCUACACAGCAGGGAAGCCAAGAAGGCAAAGCUCCGGCCAGAAGUUGAGUGUUGCAGUGGCGAAAGGGCUCGUCACAUCACCCCGUGGUGGCCACAGUGGACUACACUACGCAGCACACCGCUGCCAUCUUGGAGGCCGUGCACCGCAGACACAGCUACACAGAGUGCAAAGAUGACAUCCGGCAAUCUUCCCCCAGUGCUCUCGCCAAGUGAGAAGGGAAGUCCAGCUGACAUGUUGCUGGAGCUGGGCCAGUUUUGUGACGUAACAAUUGAGGAGUCUCUGGAAUCUGAACACUGCUUGGAAUCACGAGAGUCGCCAGUGCUCCAAGAAGUGCUGGUAUCCCAGGCUUCCCAGGCCCACCACAACAGGCCACCAUCGCAAGCAACUCUAGCUUCGGCAUGCAGUCAUGAGCAAGAGACAUCAGAAAGCGAUUGUUCUGCAGAAUCAAGGGGAAUGAAAAGGAAAAAUGAAGACGAGGAUCAGUUAAUAGUAAACCAAUUAGGCGAGGUCUCUAGUGCCAUCAAAUCGUGCGAACCACCGGACGGCCUGAAAUAUUUUGCAAUGUCUCUGCUCAAGCACAUGAGAGAAGUCAGAGAAGAAAGACGUCUUGCUAUGCAAAUCAAGUUGUUGCAAGUUGUAAAGGAAUUUAGUGAUUAGUGUUUGUGUUUAGUGUAUGCCUUUUGCAUAUUAAAGCCAAGAGACAAUGAAGCGAAGGAAAGUAUAGGGCAGAUAUAACUGCUUUCAGUUGAAAUGUAGAAGUAACAAGUUGAAAUGUAGAAGUAA